rnacentral:rRNA from 1 species
UACGGAGGGUGCAAGCGUUAUCCGGAUUCACUGGGUUUAAAGGGUGCGUAGGUGGGCAGGUAAGUCAGUGGUGAAAUCUCCGGGCUUAACCCGGAAACUGCCAUUGAUACUAUCAGUCUUGAAUACCGUGGAGGUAAGCGGAAUAUGUCAUGUAGCGGUGAAAUGCUUAGAUAUGACAUAGAACACCAAUUGCGAAGGCAGCUUACUACCCGAAUAUUGACACUGAGGCACGAAAGCGUGGGGAUCAAACAGGG